CGAACGCUGGCGGCGUGCCUAACACAUGCAAGUCGAACGGAAUUAAGGGGCUUGCUCCUUAAUUUAGUGGCGCACGGGUGAGUAAUGCGUAAAUCAUCUACCCAAGGAUCUGGGAUAACAUCUCGAAAGGGGUGCUAAUACCGGAUAAGCCCACGGAGUCUUCGGACUCUGCGGGAAAAGGGGGGGACCUUCGGGCCUUCUGUCCUCAGAUGAUUCUACGUACCAUUAGCUAGUUGGUGGGGUAAAGGCCUACCAAGGCGACGAUGGUUAGCUGGUCUGAGAGGAUGAUCAGCCACACUGGAACUGAGACACGGUCCAGACUCCUACGGGAGGCAGCAGUGGGGAAUUUUGCGCAAUGGGGGAAACCCUGACGCAGCAACGCCGCGUGAGUGAUGAAGGCCUUCGGGUUGUAAAGCUCUGUCAGUGGGAAAGAAAUGUACGAGGGCCAAUACCCCUUGUACUUGACGGUACCCACAAAGGAAGCACCGGCUAACUCCGUGCCAGCAGCCGCGGUAAUACGGAGGGUGCGAGCGUUGUUUGGAAUUAUUGGGCGUAAAGCGCGUGUAGGCGGCUUCUUAAGUUUGAUGCGAAAGCCCCGGGCUCAACCUGGGAAGUGCAUUGGAAACUGGGAAACUUGAAUACGGGAGAGGGUAGUGGAAUUCCUGGUGUAGGAGUGAAAUCCGUAGAUAUCAGGAGGAACACCGGUGGCGAAGGCGGCUACCUGGACCGAUAUUGACGCUGAGACGCGAAAGCGUGGGGAGCAAACAGGAUUAGAUACCCUGGUAGUUCACGCCGUAAACGAUGAGUACUAGGUGUUGCGGGUAUUGACCCCUGCAGUGCCGCAGCUAACGCAUUAAGUACUCCGCCUGGGAAGUACGG
rnacentral:rRNA from 1 species